GUGCGGUGGCGCGCGGAGGGCCGGGAAUGCCCGCGGCGCAGGGCUCCAGAGCUGCCCGGUGGCCGCGUCCGGGCAAUGGCCCUCCGUCUGGUCUCCGACUUCGAUCUCGGGAAGGACGUGCUCCCGUGGCUGCGGGCACAGCGGGCGGCGUUAGUGGCCGCUGGGGCCGGAGGCGGAGGCCCAGGUGUUUUAGAAAACAAUUAUGAGAGCUUACGUGUACUAAAUGUUGAAAGAAAUGGAAAUAUUAUUUAUACCUAUAAGGAUGAUAAGGGAAAUGUCUUCUUUGGAUUGUAUGAUUACCAGACCAAACAAAAUGAGCAUCUCUAUACAUUUGAGAAAGACUUGCAAGUUGUCAGUUGCUCAGUCAACAGGGAGAGAACUUUGCUGGCUGCAAGUUUAGUUCAAGCUGCUAAAGAGGGAAGAAGGAAUGAGCUUCAACCAGGUUCAAGGUGCUUAACUUUGUUGGUCGAGAUCCACCCCAUUAACAAUGUGAAGGUUCUAAAAGCAGUGGAUAGCUAUAUUUGGGUACAGUUCCUCUACCCACAUGUUGAAAGUCACCCGCUACCAGAGAAUCAUCUGCUACUGAUUUCAGAAGAGAAAUAUAUUGAACAACUUCAUAUCCAAGUUACCCAAGAAGAUGGAAAUAGAGUGGUAAUUAAAAAUUCUGGCCAUCUCCCAAGACAGAGAGUAGCCGAAGAUUUUGUUUGGGCUCAGUGGGAUAUGUCAGAGCAGAGAUUAUACUACAUUGAUCUGAAGAAAUCAAGGAGUGUCUUAAAAUGCAUCCAGUUUUAUGCUGAUGAGCACUUUAGCUUAAUGUUUGAAGCACCCUUGGACGUAUCAUUAAGUGAUUCAGGAUUCAAACUUGUCAACUUUGGAUAUGAUGAUCUUCAAGACCAAGAGAAAUUAUCCAAACACCCAACCUUGUGUGUUUUUACCAACCAUACAGGAAGUUUGUGUGUAUGUUACUGCCCGAACUUUGACUCUUGGGAGCAAAUCACGUAUUCAGUGCUUUACUUUCAUAAAGGGCACGGCAAGACCUUCACUGCUACUCUUGGGCGUGUUGACUCACGUGUGACAAAGGGCAUUACUUUUCUCAGCCUUGACUAUUAUGUAGCUGUUUACUUGCCUGGUCAUUUCUUUCAUCUACUUAACAUUCAACAUCCAGACCUGAUCUGCCACAGUCUGUUUCUGACAGGAAACAGUGAAGUGAUUGAUAUGCUACCUCAUAGUCCUUUACAGUCACUGUCAGGAUCCCUGGUCCUGGAUUGGGGUUCUGGAAAGCUCUAUAGGGCACUCCUCAACCAGUCAUAUUUAUUGGAGUUCCUGUGGAACACCCGGCUGGACUGCGAGAAGCUGGCCUUGUUGCACUGUGUGCUCUCAUGUGGCCGAGACCCACGGCGAUUGGAAGCCAAGAUUAUUCAGUGGAUUUCUGAGAACAUCUCUGCCUGCCAUUCAUUUGACCUCAUUCAGGAAUUUAUAAUUGCUUCUUCAUAUUGGAGCAUCUAUCCAGAGACAAGUAACAUGGAUAAACUCUUGCCAUACUCCUCACUGCUCACUUGGGAUACAGAAAUUCCUGGAAUAACCCUUGUGACAGAAGAGAUUCCGUUGCCUCUUAUGAAGGUGCAUAGCUUUAAGGGCUACUGGGAAAAACUGAACUCCAACCUGGAAUAUGUUAAGUACUCCAAGCCACACUUACACUAUAACAACAGCAUGGUCAGGAGAGAGUGGCACAGCCUGAUCUCAGAAGAGAAAAAAGGAAAAAGAAGGUCCACGGUGUAUGUGAGAAAUAUUCUUGAUAAUGCAAUAAAGGUGAUUUCUAACCUAGAAGCAAGGAAUUUGGAGCCAAGAUUAACACCCCUCUUCCAGGAGGAAGACAACCACCAGCGGCUGCUUAUGGGGCUGAUGGUGUCUGAGCUAAAAGACCAUCUUUUGAGACAUCUACAGGGUGUAGAAAAGAAGAAAAUUGAACAGAUGGUUCUGGACUAUGUUUCAAAACUGCUGGAUCUCAUUUGCCAAAUACUGGAAGCCAGUUGGAGGAAACAUAAUCUUCAUCCCUGGGUUCUCCACUUCAAUAGGCGGGCGAGUGCUGCUGAAUUUGCGGUCUUUCACAUCAUGACCAGGAUUUUGGAAGCUACUAACAGUUUGUUUUUACCUCUGCCUCCUGGUUUUCACACUCUGCACACGAUCCUUGGUGUCCACUGUCUGCCUUUGCAUAACCUGCUGCAUUACAUUGAUAACGGAGUGUUGCUUCUCACAGAAACAGCUGUCACAAGGCUCAUGAAAGAUCUGGACAAUACAGAGAAAAAUGAAAAAGUAAAGUUCAGCAUCAUUGUGCGGCUUCCUCCGCUUACAGGUCAGAAGAUCUGUCGACUUUGGGAUCAUCCUGUGAGUUCUAACAUUAUUUCCCGGAACCAUGUAAAGCAACUGCUUCAGAACUAUAACAAACAGCCCCGGAGUUCUAUGAUGGACAAGUCAUCAUUCAGUGUAGAAUUUCUGCCUCUGAACUACUUCAUUGAAAUACUGACAGAUAUUGAGUCCUCCAAUCCAGCUCUGUAUGCUUUUGAAGGACGUGACAACGUGGACGCAAAAUUCGUAGAGGAAGCAGCUCUGAAACACACCAUGAUGCUUUUAGGCUUAUAAAAGGGAAAAUGCAGUUAUAUCAGCUUCCAGUAUUUUUCUCUUGCUCGUUAACUCUACUUCUGUUGAGAAUUCUUUAGCAAUAUUUUAAACUGGUAACCAAAAUCAGAAUACAUUGUUGAGCCAUCUGAAUUUCAGUUUAGUACUUUGUUCAGACAGAACUAGACAGUCAAGUGUAGAGAAAUGGCAGCCAGUCCAAGGGGGCAUGAAGUGGCCUAAGUGAUGCUCUUCCUAGUGGCUGAUCUUCCUAGCGCUCUCAUAGGCCAAAAGCUAGUUUCUAUUAUACUCUGAAAUAAAAUAUACUUUAAAAAUGUAGGAACAGUGCUUAGAAAAUCAAAAAUUGGCUGUGUCACUGAAAAUAGCAUAUGACAAGCAGAAAAAUUACAAGUUGUAGAAAAAUUCUAUUUUGGAAAUUAGAUACUUUUAAAAAAACUGAAUUUGGACUAAGUCAAAUCUGCUAAUUCUAGUAGGGAAUAAUUUGCAAAAUACAAUAAUUUAUACAUACAUAGAGUAGGAUUUGUCUUUGUGAACGUUCAGAUGGAACUGUAUUUAAUAUUAUAAAGUUAUUUUUAUAUUUAUAAAAGUUUGAUUUAGUAAUAUGUUGUCAUUUAAAAAAAACACUGAAAGUUUUAGCCUAACUCCUUUGUUCUUUGAACAUAGCCUUUUAUUCCCACCAAGAAUCAUGACUCCAUGAACAUGUUCCCCCAAAGACCCACAUGACACCUAACGAGUUCUCCCACUUUUCUUUUUUUUUCCCCUCUCUCUUCUACAGUGACGUUCUGACCAUAAAUACAGUUGACUCCUGGGGUAAGCCCAAAACCCUUUGCUUUCUUCUCUUCACACGGUUUCCCUCAUUGAACUUGUGAAAUUUUAAAGAUUACAAAUAUCACUAGCCAGUAUAAUAAUUCAGCUUUUCUAAAAUCAUCAUUCUAAAAAUUAUCCUCUCCUCCAGAAUUUCCCAUUUAGGUCAAAUAUUUCAUGGUCACUGAAGCUCAGAGUCUUGGAGCCAUAUCAGCAAGGCGGUGCUGGUUUUUCCUCUUGAUAAGGUUCACUGGGCUUAAAAGGAGCCAAAGCGCCGUACGGUUUUGGCAGAGGAAGAGUGGACUCUGCCUCUGGGAUGUAGGCAUUUGGACGCUGAUCCGCAGUUGUGUAAACACCACUGGGCAGCUGGCGAUUUUCUGCUUCCAAGAACUCCUGCAAAGAAUGAUUUAUCCUUUUCAGUUUUUGAAAACUCAGGUCACUGGUGAGCAAAUGGUACAAAGGAGGAGAUAAGGAGUAAAGUAGAACCAGUGGAGAGAAGUGGUCAGCAGCUUGCUUUGAGCCUCAAGAUUCUGCCUGUGUUUCUGGAAAACAGAGGAGUCUCUUAUAGCAUUAAAAAGAAUUUGAAAAAAUGGAGACAGAGAGAACACCUGCCAGCCCUUUGAAAAAGUGGUGUUCGUCACACCCUGAAGUUCUUCCCCCACACCGUAAAGUGUUGUUCCGUCCAGUGCUUGACUAUUGUGUUUCCCUUGGUGACUCCAAUACCAAGAUGCAACGGGCCUCCUCCCCAGGACUGAUCUGUUUGUUUCUUGGUUCCAAUUGUGCUGUUACUGUUGGACUAAGAAUGGAAAAUGACUGCUAAACCCCUGGGUGAGCACCAACAGGGAAGCAGCUGUGGCAGAGGAAAUAGUUACCAAGGCCAUGGUCACACUGUGAUAGUCCUGCACACGUGCAGCACGCGUGUUCCCCUCUCCACGUCCACACCCAUGACAGACAGCACUGACCGACCACGGCCCUGUUUCCCCAGCUGAUGGAGACUUGUCAGAAUAUAUCAGAUUUAGCAUGAGAGACACAACUGAUUUGCCGUCCAAAUCUCAGGACUUAACUAGUAAGCAGAGAAGCCCCCCAAAACGUAACAAAGUGAAGGCAAGGAAAAAAGAAUACUAAAGAGUCUUUUCAGGGAAAGUUUUUGGAAAGAUAAUGAAUUCUACUUUAUUUCUAAAAUAAGUUCUCAACAGUAUUUAUUUAAUCACUUCAUUACUUAUUUGUAAUGUAUUUACUUAAUUUAUUUAAGUAAGUUACAUAUUCUUUCCUGAACUGCAUAUUUAUCAAGAGAUCAUCUAUGAAUAUUAAUCCCAAACCAGGAACUGUUGUAACAGAUUUAAUUAUUAACCAGUCGUGUAAUUAUGCUCGCCAUUAGCAUUUAAUAGGAGUUUAUAUUAUGUGAAAACAUAAGAAAAUCAAAUUAUAGAGGAAUAUCUUUUCUCUAGCAUAUGUGAACAGUAUCUUGUUCUUAGUAGCUGCCAGUGAGUCAGAAGUUCCUAAAGAUGCUGGGGUGGAAGAGUGCUAGUUAUUUGGGCUUCUGUUAUUCAGGCUCUGAA